rnacentral:lncRNA from 1 species
GUAGGAUGGAAUUUGGCCAAACAGUAAUUCAAAAGGGGAUUUGUUGCUAAGUAGUUUGGAAGGAAACUUGUUAAUGAGGUAGGUGGCAGUAAGCACACAGUCACCCCAAAACUAAUUUGUUGUUAAGUAGUUUGGAAGGAAACCUGCUAAUGAGGUAGGUGGCAGUAAGUACACAAUCACCCCAAAACUUAAUGGGUAGCUGAGAAUGAAAGAGUAGAGCUCUUGAGGUUUCUAGUAGAUAUCUAUGCUUUCUCUCAACAACACCAUUUUGUUGUGGUGUGUGAGAGAAAGAAGUUUGAUGUAUUAUGCCAUGUUCAGCAAAGAAGUUGCUGCCACAGCCACUAGAACCAAGUUCAAAUGCAUUAUCACUCCUAAUGGUUUGAACCAUAGACUGGAAUUGAGUUUUAACCAAAGUUCAAAUGCAUUAUCACUCCUAAUGGUUUGUACCACAGACUGGAAUUGAGUUUUAACCAUGGCAAUGAAGGCUUUAAUGAGGGGAAAGGCAUUGCUCUUGGACCACAUAAGGUGGGUCCAAGUAGCUCUGGUAAAAUCAUCAACUAUUGUUAAAAAAUAUCUAUAACCAUUAUGAGUAGAAGUGGCAUAGGGACCCCAUGUAUCAACAUGGAUUAGUUGAAAAGCAU